GGUAUGUUGUCUAUCUGUACUGGCUUUUGCCUUUUCCUUGAAUAACAUUGGUGGCAUGGAGGGAGGAGGCUGGUAUGUAUGGGUGACUGCUCGUCUUCCAUAAACAACCUUGCUCAGACUUGUGCCUUGGAUGUGAACUUUCUGGGUGCAAUCCCA